GGGUUUUGCCCACAAUAAAAGCACUAUUAGGUAGAUUGUCAAAUUUGUAAUAUGAUAUAUAGAUAUAGAUAUACAUGGAAGUAUACAAGUCAAAAUCCAAUUAUAUGUAGAUUGUAAACCAUGAUACUUGUGCAUCACAUGCAUCUCCUUUUAGCAUUUUGCUUUAUGGAUGAUUGAUUUUUGUUUCAUUAAUUGGUAUCCAAAGGCAAGUUCCUUUGGAUUGUGAUAGUGCUAG
rnacentral:misc_RNA from 1 species